AGUAGUGUGGGUGGACGAGGACAGCGGGUGGAACUGGUCCUUCUGUGACUUUGCAGCCCCGGCUUGGUGAUAAUUUUUGUGCAGGCUUCUUGACAUGGAAAGCAGAGCUCCCCAGCACAGAGUGAGCCUCCGAAGGGCUCCUGCCCUUACCGGUGCCCUACCCUCCCUUUCCCUGCUUGCUACACUUGGGUCCGGGACUCAGCCUCCCUUUGCAAGCUUCUGCUCGGCCUGUGUGCAGCUGCACUUAGCUGGCAGGGUCAGGCGUUGAGUAGCCGCUCCGCUCCUUCUGCAGCCUCCUGCAGCCCCCGCCAGCUCCCGGGCUCCAUCCCUCACCAUCAGUUGCUGAUUGGCGCCCCCUGCGUGCACAACGGAGGCUGGCUGCACCUGGAGGUUCCCAGCAAUUCCAGGCCGGCUCCAGCCUAGCCAAAGCAGCUAACUUCUCUGCUGUCUCGUGGGCUGAACCUCACCGUUUCCCAAGAGGAGCUGCCUGGCAAUGGUAGCAGGUGAAGGUCAUGGUGAAGAAGAUGCAGAUAUUGGCAAUUUGGAGCAUUAGAUGAACUAAUUACAACGUUAACCUAAGGAACAGUGCAACAGAAAAUGGGCUAAGACAUGGAGCAAGGGGCAGAACGACUCUUGAAGAUGCUGAGCAACUUCUGCUUAUAAAGUUGAUUCACUGACUGCUGGUUUGAAAUGGUGUCUGCUAACAAACAGUUGCUGGUACAGCUUCUCUGUAAUGUGAGGUAAAAUACCUAUAAAAGCUUAGAAGAAGAUGUAAACUCAGAACACAGCCAUAAACUUGGACUGACAAUCCCCUGAAGACUGGAUCUGGGAGGACUUUUUGCCAAUAGUACUGCCAAUGAAACUGAAAAGAAAAGAACAUUCUAUGGGUGUGGGUGUGUUACUGAGGAAAUGCUCUGUAGGCAAGAGGUAAGAAGGACUAUUAUUUUCAUUGUGCAUCUCCUGGAUGGGGAUCCCCUGGAUGAUGGGUCCCCUCAAUUGUGUAUACUUGAAUGGAUUCUCUGGUGAAAAUUGAUGACCACCCAGAACUUUAGUAUGUGCCUUUUUUUUUUUUUUUUUUUUUUGUAAAUACCUUAUCUGCAGAUACAAUGGAUUAAGAUUUAAAAUGAGACCAUACUGGGUAGGCUGGAUCCUGAAUCUAAUGAAAGCAUCUUUAUAAGGGACGGAAAGACACAUACAGUGACUCACAGACAGAAUAUGUUUCAGGCCACAUGAAGACAGACACAGAAACUGGAAUGGUGGGGUCACAAGCCAAAGAAUGCCAGGAGCCAACAAAAGCUCAAAGAGGCAAGGAAGGACUCUGUCGUAGAGACUUCAGAGAGAGCAUGCCCCUGCUGGCACUUUAUUUUGGACUGACCUCCAGAAUCGUGAGAGGAUAUAUUUUUGUUGUAUUAUGGGCAACCCUAGGAAACUAAUACAAUGGAAAACUCAAGUUUAUGCCAAGUGUUGAAAAUGGAAAUGCCUAAGAUAAUGAAAAUGAGUGGGUUGACCAGGGAGGCACAGAGGUGAAGUUGAGAGGCCACAUGGUCUAUGAAGACACAUCCAAUUGUUGUCUUCUAAGAAUGCAGACAUGGACUUGCCAAAUAUUUUUACAGUUCAGAAGAAGCUAGAAAUUUGGAUUUCAUUUGUGUGCUCUUUUUUUUUUUUUUAACAUUGCCCUAAUUUUAUUUCAAAUGUGGUACUAACCGUGUCAAACAUGUUUGAGAAAGUCAUGGGUAGCCAGUAUGGUGCCUCCUGUCUGGGUCUGUAUUAGUUUGUUCUCAUGCUGUUGAUAAUGACAUACCCGCAGCUGGGUAAUUUAUAAAGGAAAAGGGGUUUAAUGGACUCACAGUUUCACAUGGCUGGGGAAGCCUCACAAUCAUGGUGGAAGAUGAAGGAAGAGCAAAGGGACAUCUUACAUGGCACCAGGCAAAAGCGUGUGUACAGGGGAACUCCCUUUAUAAAACCAUCAGAUCUCGUGACACUUAUUCACUGUCACAUGAACAGCAUAGGAAAAACCUGAUCCCAUGAUUCAAUUACCUCCCACCGGGUCCCUCCCAUGACAUGUGGAACUAUGGAGCUACAAUUCAAGAUGAGAUUUGGGUGGGGACACAAUCAAACCAUAUCAGGGUCCCUUUUAGCCAUCCUUGUCCUGUGCAUUUUCCCCAUUUUAUAAGAGGGAGAAUUGUGUUCCUCUCCUCUUCCAUUAUUUAUUUUCCAGCCUCAGAGAAGAUCCUGCUCCAAAGACCACAGGGCAGGGGUUGGAAGGCAGAAGCAGGAGGGUUUUUGUGGCAGUGAUGCAUAGCAUAAUUGCCUGAUGGUUAUUUCCACUCAUUAACUGUCUGUCUUAUCAGAAGUCCAGGAAGAAGUUGCACAGAAUACUAUUUUAGUCUACCAGAACCACGGUUAGUAAAGCCUGCUGGAAUGUGGAGCUGAUCUAGGAGCUGUGGGCAUUCAGCUGGUGAGUUAUGAAAUGGGAAAAGUUCCCUUAUCCCACUAGCAGGGUGUGUGAUGGGGGGAGUGACUCGUUUCUUUGGUGCCUGCAGCUCAAACCUCUAGGGGGAGUAUGCAGAUGGGCAGAUCGUGGGGAUCAUGGACUCCAACCCCACAGCAGUGUCUAGGGUUGGGUGUUUACAGCUCUGGAAGCCCCAGUGUGUUACAGUGUGCUCUUUCAGCUUAGAUAUCUGCAGGCGGCUUGUGUUAAUCAGCUCAAUCAGACCCUCUGCCUUAUCACAAGGACAUAGGGCUUUCUGUAUCCCGGGGUUCUUGCAGUAGUGUACUGGAAAAAUCAGAUCACGUGUUGGCAUGGAGAAUGAGUGCAAGGUUUUAUUGAGUGGUAGAAGUAGCUCUCAGCAGAUGGAUGGGGAGCAUGAGAGGGAUGGAGUGGGAAAGUGGUCUUCCCUUGGGUCAGGCUGCUCUGUGGCUGGGCUAUCCUCCAACUGUCCUCAGCCAAAUUCCACGUCAUCCCACCAUCAAUGGCCUGCCAGUGUCUGUUGGUGUGUUCUUCUGCCUGUGUGUUUCUCUUGACAUCCACACACUUGUGUGUAUGCCUGCUAGGGUCUCGGGGGCUAUAUAGGCACAGAAUAGGGGGCAUGGCAGGCCAGAGAGAUCUUGGAAAAUGCAACAUUUGGAUCUGAAAACAGGAGUGCCUGUCCUCCCCUGGGUUCGUGAGACUCAGACAAUUUAUUUCCUGAUUAUUGAUUGGGGGUGAGUGGGAGAAGGGAAAGUAUCUGAGGACAUAUUCUACAUUACCAAAAUUGAUUACAAAUGAAGAGGCCAAGAAUGAGAAAGGCAGGGCCUGAAGAGCCUGAUGGAUCUGCCUUCACUCAAAUUGGACUCCACUCUCAGGAUUUCAGUCAUGGUGCAGUUGUGUAUCCAAGGGCAAAGCUUGGCCUCGAUGUGAUACCCUCAUUGGUUUUGCUCUUCCUCCAACUUUCAGGGGAAUGUGUUUCCAGAAUCCUUUAUUCCACCUUUGAUGUGAAAAUUGGGUCCAUGAUUACAAAUGGCUGAUCCAUGUGGGGCUUAAUGCCUAGGUGACGGGUUGAUAGGUGCAGCAAACCACCAUGGCACACGUUUACCUGUGUGGAGCCCUCACUGGGGACCCCACCCUUCUCUACCCAGCAUUUUCUGCCCCCCUCCCAUAUCUGUUACACCUUGAAACAGAAGAUUUGACCAGAAGGAAGUAGGGUCAAGGAACAUUCAUCCUUGAGGUCUUCUGGUAAACACUAGACUUUGAUACAUUUUAUUUUAUUUGGGGAUGAGAAAACUACAAAACAUGAAGAAUAUGAGCCUCAACAAGGACAGCAAUCACAGUGGAGAAAUAUUGAGCACUGGUCAUCCAAAAUUAUUGUGAAAGCUCCCAGCAAGAUCAAAUCCUUGACACCCAUCUGCUGAAGGAAAUAGAUUUUUGUUUUAAGGAAAUUAUUUGGAGUCCUGAGAUUCAAGGACAAACCUUGCAUCUCAUCUCUUUUGGAUUUCUGUUGGAAAUAGGACAAAUGUUUCAAAGAAAGAACAAAAUGUCAUGUAAAAAGAACUGGAUAAGAUAAGGAAGAAUUUAUAGGCAGCCAAAAGUGCAACAGCAGAAUUACAUUAGCAUUAACAAGCAGUGGAAAACUUAAUUGAGAUUAUGGAAAAUCAUAUUGUAUUAUAAGGGACAAAUUUUAGAACUCUCCUAGAAAGUAUGGGACAGAGAUGAAAAUGAUGAGAGAGCAUGUGUUUGUUUAAAAAGUCUGAGAUAGUAGCUUUAACUUAAGAAUUAUAAGUCUUUCUACUUGAGAGAGAAAAGACAAAUAAAAAAUACUUCCAAAAAAAUUCCUACUUAUAAAAACCAAUGUAUAAAUGUUAAAAUUGGUUCUUUAAGUUACAAGUAAUGUUAGUAAAACAAGCAGCAAAAAAACCCCAAAAAGAUUACUGCAAUAUGCAAUUGCAUGUAAUUUUUCUUUAUUUUUAAUUAUAAAAAUUAUAAAAUAUUCAAACACCUCAAAUGGAUAUAAUGUAAAUAACAAAAGCUUCUCUUUGCUUCUCCUUUUCUGUUCUCCAGAGGUAAGAGUGUUAGUAUUUUGCUGAAAAGCCUUUCAGAUCUUCACUCUGCAUAUACCAGCUCCUACAAAUAUUCAUUAGUUUUUUGAACAACAAGAUUAUCACAGUAAACUUUCUGCACCUAGCUUUUUUUUUCAUUUAGCAAUAUAUUGUAGAUGUUUCUUCUUAUUAGAACAUGAGGCUCUAGUUAAUAUUUGAAAUUGUUGAAGGGAUUUUUUGUAUAGAUGCACUGUAAUUUAUCCAACUCAGUAAAUGUUUCCUUUUUAUUUCUCAACUAUAAAACUGGUACUGUGAAUACUCUUAUCUUUGCACACUAUUUGUAAAUAGUUUUUGCUAGGCUGUUUACAGAAUACGUUUUUUGUUGUAAAAUUACUCUGGUGAAAAGUUUGACCAAAGUAUAAAGACAAAGGAAUCCUACAAGGAUACAUGCAGGCACGAAAUGAAACAAACAAAACUAAACCCUCAGACUGGUUGUUUACAAAGAAACAGAAAUCAGGAAGGCUUUGGGAUUUCCUUCUGCAGCACUGAAUGCCAAAGUGUCUUUGAAUAGAAUUGCAUCUGCAGAAUUUUUAAGUGGAAAAGCAAUAUUGUGCACCAAGAAUUUUGUUCUCCUCCAAGUAAUGUUUUGUAUGAAAAAGUCAUUCCCUGAUAAACUGAGACUCAGACAAUUUAUUUCCUGAUUACUGAUUGGGGGUAAGUGGGAGAAGGGAAAGUAUCUAAGGACAUAUUCUACAUUACCAAAAUUGAUUACAAAUGAAGAGGCCAAGAAUGGGAAAGGCAGGGCCUGAAGAGCCUGGUGGAUCUGCCUUCACUCAAAUUGGACUCCACUCUCAGGAUUUCAGUCAUAGUGCAGUUGUGUAUCCAAGGGCAAAGCUUGGCCUUGAUGUGAUACCCUCAUUGGUUUUGCUCUUCCUCCAACUUUCAGGGGAAUGUGUUUCCAGAAUCCUUUAUUCCACCUUUGAUGUGAAAAUUGGGUCCAUGAUUACAAAUGGCUGAUGCAUGUGGGGCUUAAUGCCUAGGUGAUGUGUUGAUAGGUGCAGCAAACCACCAUGGCACACGUUUACCUGUGUGACAAACCUGCAGGCUCUGCACAUGUAUCCUGGAACUUAAAGUGAAAUUAAAAAAAAAAAAGAAAGAAUUUGUGUCCAUGAUCGAUGCCCAUUUUAAACAAUAAUUCCUACUAUUCUCUUCAAGUACUUGAUAAAGAUUGCUAAAAUACUGAAAUGUUUAAAACACCACUGAGAAAAUUAAUAGCAAAACAAUCCAUUUCUUCUCUAUAAAGUGGAGCUGCAGAGAGUGACAUAUGACCAUUUUCAAUGCCACAGAACUUGAAUAAUAAUUUUCUGCAUCUUUAAAAUUUAUAGUAAAAUCAGAAAAAGCCCAAGUUUUUGGAAAGAAAUAAACCACCCACUGGCAGAUAUUAUCUGUCAUUAAGCCACU
rnacentral:lncRNA from 10 species